AGUGGGAGCACAGGUUUACCUGUGUGACUGCGUACCUUUUGUAUAAUGGGUCAGCGACUUAUAUUCUGUAGCAAGGUUAACCGAAUAGGGGAGCCGGAGGGAAACCGAGUCUUAAUUGGGCGUUAAGUUGCAGGGUAUAGACCCGAAACCCGGUGAUCUAGCCAUGGGCAGGUUGAAGGUUGGGUAACACUAACUGGAGGACCGAACCGACUAAUGUUGAAAAAUUAGCGGAUGACCUGUGGCUGGGGGUGAAAGGCCAAUCAAACCGGGAGAUAGCUGGUUCUCCCCGAAAGCUAUUUAGGUAGCGCCUCGUGAAUUCAUCUCCGGGGGUAGAGCACUGUUUCGGCUAGGGGGCCAUCCCGGCUUACCAACCCGAUGCAAACUGCGAAUACCGGAGAAUGUUAUCACGGGAGACACACGGCGGGUGCUAACGUCCGUCGUGAAGAGGGAAACAACCCAGACCGCCAGCUAAGGUCCCAAAGUCAUGGUUAAGUGGGAAACGAUGUGGGAAGGCCCAGACAGCCAGGAUGUUGGCUUAGAAGCAGCCAUCAUUUAAAGAAAGCGUAAUAGCUCACUGGUCGAGUCGGCCUGCGCGGAAGAUGUAACGGGGCUAAACCAUGCACCGAAGCUGCGGCAGCGAACGUAUCACCCAAGACAACUUUACGGAGUUGACGAUUGACGGAGCGAAGCGACGUCAAAGCGUUCAUUAAAGUCGAGUUGGCUUAGGGAUACGUUCGUUGGGUAGGGGAGCGUUCUGUAAGCCUGCGAAGGUGGCCUGUGAGGGUUGCUGGAGGUAUCAGAAGUGCGAAUGCUGACAUAAGUAACGAUAAAGCGGGUGAAAAGCCCGCUCGCCGGAAGACCAAGGGUUCCUGUCCAACGUUAAUCGGGG
rnacentral:rRNA from 1 species